CUGAUCAAAAAUGAUAUCCAACAACCUUUGCGAAACUUUUGGGAAAGCAGUGAUAAAACACAUAUACAAUUCAUUUGACCAAAUAAUCAAAUUUGGUGCUGACAUCUUGCACAUUUUAUACGGUUUGUCGUUGAUAGAACUAUGUAAAACAUUUUAUUGGAGGUUCAAAAUUUAAUUUAAAUAUUUAAGCAGUAAUUUGCUCGAAAUUUCAUAUCAUGUCAAUUAAGUGCAGGUCGUUUAUGCAUACCAAAACUCAAAAACUUAAAAACUUAACAUUGAACAACGUCAAUUCAUGUUAUUACUCGAAAUCGGAAUACCAGUUGAGUAGUUCGAUUUCAAACAACAAAGUGCAAUUGGGUAUGAAUUUUGAAUGAACUGCAAAAGCUGGAUAGAAACACUUACAUAUACCCUCACGACACUUACCAAAGAGGAAAUUCUAGAUAAUCAUAGGUCUGUUCUAUGUUCCUUUGGAGUUUCAACCAAAGAUGAUGAACUAGAUCUUCCAUCACUGUAUUGGAUACCUAAACUACAUA
rnacentral:lncRNA from 1 species